AAUGCCACUUUAUAUAGGGGACUUGAGCAUCUGUGGAUUUUGGUGUCCACAGGGGUUCUGGAGCAAAUUCCCCAAGGAUACCAAGGGAUGACUGUACUUCUACAUAUACUGUCUCAUUUAAGUUUUACAUCAUCCCGUGAAGUAGGUACUAAUAUUAUUCCCAUCUUACACAUGAAGAAACUGUGGCAUGGAAAAAUUGUCCAAGGUCAUACAACCAAGAAAUAGUGGUACCUGGCAGAACUAGCUACAUCAUUUGUGAGACCUGGCACAAAAUGAAAAUCAGGGCUCCUUGCUCAAAAAUUUAAUUAUUUUAAGAUGGCAACAGCAGAGCUUUAAAGCAAGUGUGGGGCUCCUGUGUGACAACACGGGCCUGUGCCCAAGGAGCCAACCCUGGUACCAGAAUCUGAAUUCAGAAUUCUGACUCCAGAACCCACAAGCCUCUGUGUUUGGAGAAAGUCCUAGGAAUCCCUGUAAUUUACUGAGAACCUGCUUUGUGCAUUGUGAGAAAUCUUCAAAAGCCCUCACAACAUCCCUGAGGUAACAGUGAGGUGUUGUCACCCUGAUUUUUAAGAGUGAGGAAACCAAGCUUUGGGAAGCUGAGUUACCCACCAGGGUAACUGAGUUACCCCAGGGUUACCCAGGGGGGCCAGGCUUUGAACACAGGACCAUCUCUGGAGCCUAUGUUCUUGUACCACAUGGCCUCUUUCUAUAAGGAUCACCAAGGCAGGAACUAAAAUGGGGCUCGGCGUGACUCAGACAAUCUCUUAGGAACUUUGACCCAGAAGCCUGUCACUGGGGCUCGAGCUGCUGCUUUGCUCAAGACCAGAAGGCGUCCCAAGUCUGCAGAUACUUCCAGCGAGGCUUCUGCUUCCACGGAGGUCGGUGCAGCUACCAGCACCCACAGCCUCCCCGGCACCUUGAGUGGGGCCGCCGCCACUCAGAGCCACAGAUCACCCUGCCAGGAUCCCAGCUGGGGCUGACCCGCAGGGGGUCCGAGCCCACCUACCUGCCCUCUGUGGCUGUGGGUUGGGGCUGGGCCAGGGGAUACCGGGGCAUGGAGCCUGGCCUGGAGGAGUUCAACAAAGCUGAGGAGGUUGGUGGCAGUUCCUGGAAGUCCCUGUUGCCAUCAUCUGCUGAUGGUGGCCACAGCUACUCUCAGAAGCCUCAGCCUAAGUCAGACCCUAUCCGGGAGCUUCUGGCCCUACUUCAGAGCCUAGACCUUGAGGUGCAGCAGGUAGUUGAGGGGAAGGGGCAGAGGAUGCCAUGGUGGACCUCUGGGAUGCCCAGACAUGCUGGAGGAGGGUCCCUGGAGCUGAAACCGCUGCUGCUACGAUUGCCCCCAUUAUGCCAAAGGAAUCUGAUGUCUCUGCUGAUGGCUGUUUGGCCAUCACUGCCUGAAAGCAGUCUCCUCCCUGUACUGCAGAUUGCACACCAGGACCCAAGCCCUGACCCUGAUCUCUGGCUCCGGGCCCUUGGGGAAUUGCUGCGAAAGGAUCUGGGUGUUGGGGCCUCCACUGAGGGAGCAUCCCCACUAUCUGCAAGGUGCCAGAGACAACUCCAAGGCCUGUGUAGGCAGCUGGGCCAAGGGGGCAGGAAGCUGAGAUGGCCCCAUGCUCCAGACCCCAAAAAGGAAGAAGAGAAGGACAAGGACUCCCAGUGGCCUGGGAAACGCAGAAAGGGGCCAGAGGAAGAGUCUGCCAGUCCUGAUGGGGAAAGGGCCCCCAAAAGGUUUCGGUGUUUGGAAAAGGAAGAAGAGAAAGAGGCAGGUCAUCAGGAAGCAAGACCUGAACAUGAAUCUUUGGAGUCCCUGGCUGAUGGAGGAGGUGCAUCACCCAUUAAGAAGCAGCCUGCCAUGGGGGCUGAGCCCAGUGAGGCUGCUCCAAGUCUAGAGGAUGCUAAGGGCCUACCUGAGAGUUUGGAGUUGCCCAAAGCUAUCCAGGAUCAGGUUCCCAGGAUGCAGCAGCUGCUCAGGACCUUCGGGGAGGGGUUGGAGGGAUUGGAGGGUGCCCCACCAGCUGAGCUGCAGCUUCUCCACGAAUGCAGUCCCAGCCAGGUGGACCUGCUGUGUGCCCAGCUGCAGCUCCCACAGCUCUCAGACGCUGGCCUUCUGCAGCUCUGCACCUGGCUGCUGGCCCUUUCCCCAGAUCUCAGCCUAAGCAAUGCUACUGUGCUGACCAGGAGCCUCUUUCUUGGACGGAUUCUCUCCCUUACUUCCUCAGCCUCCCGCCUGCUCACAACCGCCCUGACCGCCUUCUGUACCAAGUAUACCUACGCUGUCUGCAGAGCCCUCCUUGGCCCUGUACUCCAAGCUCCAAGAACAGGUCCAGCUCAAACCGAAUUACUGUGUUGCCUUAUGAAGGACAAGGCCCUAGAGCCAGACAUGCAGGUUCUGAUGCUGGGAUCCUGGAGCUGCCGUGGAAGGAGGAGUCUUUCUUGGUGUUGCAAUCACUCCUGGAGCGGCAGGUGGAGAUGCCGCCUGAGAAGUUCAAUGUGUUGAUGGAGAAACUUUAUAAAGAGGGGCCAGCAGCCACCAUGUCAAUGGCCUAUGCCAAGCUCAUGCUGACCGUGAUGACCAAGUAUCAGGCUAAUAUCACUGAGAUCCAGAGACUGGGCCUGGCCGCAGCCAUCGAGUUCAACACCACAUUCCUGAGGAAGUCCCUGCAGGCUGCCCUGAGACAUCUGGCCCUCUGACCAUCCACCAAGGGACCACCCUCCUGGAGCUCCCUCACCAGCUUCCUAAAGGACACUUCGGCCCUGGGCACCUCAUCCUGACUCCUCAUGUGGGGUAAAGGUUGAGCUUGGCCUUCCUAGGGAUCACCUGCCUCUGGGCAGCAGGCUGCAGAGAGGUCAUCUGGGCCUCCCAGCCAGCAGGGAGGGUCCCAGUCUUCGGGGACUGGAUGAACUAUAUUACUAAGGGCUGCUGACUGUGAGCUCCCUCCUUGUCACUUCUCCCUCAGGCUGUGGGGACAGAAACUUUAAGGUAGGCCUCAGUAGGGUCCAACCAGACGCAGAGCGGACGAAUGAUACUCCAGGAGCUCUGGGGGACCUGUGUGCUCAGCACAAAUCUCUUAUUCUCAGGUGUAUGUUAACGAUCUUCUGUGUUCUUGUUUCUGACUUGAAUAAUAAUUUAUCAACAGUAUUUUAUUAAAAACAGGAGGCUCAAUUAUGUCUUAUUAGAAGCAGGACCUGCCUUCGUCUUAA